rnacentral:misc_RNA from 1 species
AAAAAUAUUUGGUCUCGUGCCAAAUUUACACCUGUGUGCACCAUUGUCUGUAUUUGGUAGCUCGAGCGCGCUCCGGAAGCUCAACACUUCCAUUAGGGGCGCCUACCCUUGCGGGUCACAUCCCGCUUGGGUUGGGCUACCGCCUUUUUUUUUGAAAAACCUUUUUUGUUUUGUCUUUUUGUCUGAACGAAGAGCUGAUCUUAAUUGAUUAAUGAUUUGAAAA